rnacentral:lncRNA from 1 species
UGCCAACAUGUUUAAGAAGUUUGCAGAACAGGAUGCAAAGGAAGAGGCCAGUAAAGCCAUGGGCAAGAAGACUUUAGAAGGGGUCACCAAUGAAAAAGAAGCAGAAAGUCAAGCAACAGAAGAAAAAGCCGGAGGCCAUGUAUGACACCACGCAAAGGAGGGAAGAGCCCUAAUGAACUCGGCCCCUUCCUCCAUGGGCUGUCACCCAACUCAGGACUCAACAGUGUUUCAUGUAAAGUUUGUUAUAGUCUGUGCGAAUCUGGAAGCAAAUGGCAAAACCAGUAGCUUCCCAGAAAACAGCCACCCUGCUGCUGCCCAGCGUGCUCCUUGAGAGGGUGGCAUGGGACCACUCCCGGUGGAACGAAGCAGAAGUGACUAUUGAUGUGGUGAGAUCGAACCACCAGCUAAGUCCAGCUCAUUUCAGUUUGUGUCAACUUUCAAUAUCUAAUUCAGGGUCCCUUGAGAUAAUCCUAACAAUUUGGGCUGUCUGUUAGGUUUUACAUCUGAUUGAACUUUUAAUAGCACUGCAGAAACCUAAAAAUAAAUGCUUAAUGAUUUUCUCCUUUCCUGCAGUUGGGUGGGAGAGAGGAGGAGGUCUUGGUUUUUAAAUGACUGAAGUGCUAGCAUUCGUAACCAACACAACCCAUAGGGAGAGGGGUCUGGAAUCCCCUCACACACUGGUUCUCCACAGUGCCAGACUCUGAAGCCAGAACCUCAGAGGCCACUUGCUUGCUGACUUUAGUCAAACUUCCUCACUAAGCCAGUCUGCUUGGGAGAGUGGGGCUCUCUGGCACCCAGCCUGGCCCUGGAGGAGGGAAUCUGUCAUUCCCAAAACAUUCUUCAGCAAUGAUAAUGAGCAGAGGGAGUUUCUAGAUUAGCUUUCCCUGCUUUCCUUGAAGUUCUGAGAUGCUGAAAUGUGAAAAGAGUAAUCAGAAUUGUGCAUUUUCCCCUCCUCUGUCUCUUGUAGGAAGUAAUGUGGAGUACCGUACUGCCUGCUAGCAUUGCUGCCAUUCAGUUUCUGAUUUUCAUUCUAAACCUUGCUAUAUUAAGAAUUUAAGACUUGUUCUUAGAAUAUCUCUGACCUGGAGUGGAUUUAUUUACAUAUCCACUUAGGAUUCAUGCAGCUUUUUUUUUUUUUUUUGUCUUUUUAAAAUUACUGGCUCAUAAACAUGUAUACUGGUUUAUGGAACUUUAUUUACACUCCUCUAUCAUACAAAAAAUUUUUGACUUUUUACUACGAAGUAGCUUGAUUUUUAAAAACAAAAUCUGCAGAGGUGGAAAAAUAAGUAGUUGCUCUUGUACGUUAAGGGUUUUCCUCGCAGGUUUGGCACACAGCAACUUUCUUAUGGCUUCUUUGUUCUGGUGUAAGUCGUGAAAAAGAAUUGAAAACUGCUUCCUGUGCAGGCACAUCUAGCCUAAAAGCUCCAAUCCUGGGGCAUUGAAUCAGGGCAAAUCAGAGUACGUACAUGUAGUGGAAUCUUGGUCCUUACGGGUAAGCGAGAUUGAACAUGGCCUGAGAAGCACUUGUGGGAAUGCGUUUGCAAUCAAAGGAAACAGUAGCUCCAACCUGGAACAUCUCACUUUGUAAAAUCCUAAAGAACACUGGCAGUUACUAGUUUUAACGUUUAUGGUGGUUUUAGCAAAACACUUGUUAGGUUAGGACCCACAUCAAAACCUAAAAAUAAAAUAAUUUCCAUUUAUACCAUUUUUUUCCUCCAUGGAACAAGUGGAAUUAAAUUGUGAGUUUCUUCUUUGACAACUAGAAUGCUUUUAAUUCUCACUUUUGUCUUUAUUCAUGAGAUUUCUUUUAAAAGCCCCAAUCUCGCCUAGGAAAUAUGAAAAGCAGAAGUUGAUUUUGCUUUGUUGCUUGACUGUUUAGUAUUUGUAGCUCUUUUGACUAGAGCAUGACUCCAGUGAGAUUUGAUCCUAAGGCCAGUUAGCUUUUUGCAGGUAGCAAACAAAAAAAACAGGUUCUAAAACUUAGAUUAUCCUAGCCAAUUGUCUCCCAAAUGUGUGUUAUGGGUCACCAGCGGGGAAUGGGCAAGAGUGUGCACAGAAGGGAGGACAGGGGGUAUGCAGGUAGUUCUGAGAAAAUGAGGGUGAGGUGCCCAUCACCACUCAAGAAGAAGAAACUUCAUAUGUUCUUGUAUCAAAUUCAGUAAUCUUAAUUUGUCUAGAAACCAGUGGAUGUCUUUGAACCAUCUUUCAGACUGCAUUUGGAGUGCUGAGGCAGCAUAUAUGAUGAAUUGAAAACUUGUUUUUUAAAAAAAGAAAAACAUUCAGAUGCACUUUUUUGUGUUCCUUAAAUAAACAACCAAACAUGAUUUCCCCUUA